AGCGGAGUGACAAAGCCGGCGUUGCUGCCGCCAGGGGUGGGAGCCGCGCUUUCCCGCCCACCCCUCGACUGGGGAGAGCGUAAAAGUUUGACUCAGCUCGAGCGUUCCGAGUUCCAACAGGCCCUCAGGUAAAGGUGGAAGUAAAUGACCACGCUGUGUUGACAGAGGUAGGGUUUGUUUUUUAAUACUCGUUCUCACUUUAAAUUUCACCAGGGAGGGGUUUGGGAAGCACUGCGCGUUUGGGGUACGUUUUGCGCUUCUCGGUCUCUCUAGUCUGUGAAGUCGCGAGUCGUAGACCGUUUAGUGACGAGUGAUGAUUUUAAAGAGCAGAAUAAAGGCUUUCUCCUGUCUGCCCCGCAGCCCCUCCAGCUCGAAUAAUGGAAAGACUGCCAAGGCACUCCGCUUGCGGCAGCCCAUUGUACGAAGCUGAGGAAGAGGAGGCGACUGGGGGUGGCAGGGGCUCCUUGCCCUAGCCCCUUUGCCCAAAUAAAUGUGUUCCUGUUCUUGGCCAGUUAAAAGAUGAAACGAACCUGAUUCAAAUAGACCGAAAAAUGAAAGAAAGAAGGAAAAAAAGGAGGAAAUAAGGGAAGAGUGAAAAAAAGAAAGAAAAAUAUGUAGAAAUUUAAAUUAAAUCCCCAUCCAGUUAGAGGCAGGGAGUUCGAGAGCAGAGAGAGCAGGCAUAGAGAGGGAGACUGUAAGAGGGAAAGAGAACGCGGAGAAAAGGAGAAAGUGGGAGAGGAAGCGGGAGUCAGCGCCAGGGAAGCGGAGGCCUGCUGGACGCCGGGUCCGCAGGCCCAGUCGCGCUCGAACCCUGGACUGUGCGUCGUGGGCACCAGAAGCGAGAUUCGGCCAAGUCCUACCCCAUCAGGCAAGUAACGCAAUGAUUAUCAUUUCUUUUGAACUUGGGAUUGGUAACACGGUCAGGCAGGGAGGCAGUCUUGGUUCUCACGCAGGCGGGGGACACGAGUCGAGGCAGCCAGGGCUGGUAAAGGAGAACUUUCCUCCGGGCCUGUUCGGAGUUGCCCUUGCCAGGCCUCUAUCCCGCCGCGUCGCCUCCUAGGAGGUAAGAAUCCUGCCAGUCCAUCAUCAGUUCAAAUUCAAAACAGGUUUCUCCCACUUGGAUCAACUGUUCCCAAACUACCCCGCCCCCGCUACGGCGGGAAACGGCUGCCGGCGCUGGGGAAGCGGGACUGUGGACCCUCCAGCUUAGCAUUCGCUUGGCCGUCCUAGCCAGUGCAGAGCCUUCGCUGCGGUGCAGCGGGCUGGCUCUGGUGCUCGCAUCUUGUCUGGCUGAGGCCAGGACCUGGCGAGCUCGGCUCUUGCCGCCCACCUGCGGGCGCCGUUUGUAAUGUGAUCCCUUAAUGUAACGCAAUCGAUGGCUGCCUGUUUGAUGUGGGCGAUAGUGUCAGCGGAUUAAAAGGGACAUCAAACCGUUCUCCCAAGUGGAGAAGCUGCUGCUGCUGCUGCGGCGGCGGCGGCAGAGCACCAGGAUCUGCAGCCUUGCAGCCCAGCCAGAUUCCUCGUGCCGCGGCUAGCGGUCUGGUGGCGGGGAGGGCGUCGCCUCCCCGGGUGGGGACCAAGGGUGUGUAUGUGAAAGGAAGAGCCUCAAUUAAAGCCAACAAGAGCGCUUUCCCAGGCGCUGGGCAGGGGAGCGCCGUUUGCGUCAGAGGGCGUGCAGGGCGGGCGCGCAGGGCUGCGGGCGGGGGUGGGGGGCGGGGAGCUGCCACUGGGACCCCGCCCGGGGUCCGGGUGGGCUCUGGGAUGAGCCAGCCUAGCCUGUCAGGGCUGGAUCGGGGUCAGGCCUUGCAGGCGAGGGUUAAGGCUAGGCGGCGGGAGAACCAGCUGAGCCGUGUGUGUGUGUGUGUGUGUGUGUGGGUGGGGUGGGGUGGGGAGUGCAGUGACGCCCACCCAUCCUCGGUGUGGACUUUACCCGCUCCCACCAAGCUUCCAAACUUGCAAAGGCCCCUGGGACAUGGCAUGACCCCGGGGGCGGGGUAAGUCGGGUCCUGGAGGCCUCAGGCGAAGCUGCGGACUCCUCUGGAAAGAAGGGGGAGGGUGCAGUUCCCAGCCACACGUAGUUCAAGGAGUGGGGGUGGGUGGCUGCUGGUAGCGGUGAGCAGAGCAGCGGAAGCCCUUGGUUUUCGGAGGAGAGGAGCCACUAGAGCUACUUCGGGGCAGAAGUGACCCCUUUGAGGUCAGAGAGAAACCGAAGCUUUUCCAGGAGGGCCUUGAACCUUCUCUGGGACUUGAGCAGCACUCAGGGCUCACUUUUUCUUCCUGACCCUGUGCUCCCCAACCGCAAAUGCUCCACUUGUGUUCACAGCCCCGCCUCCAGCAAAAUGGCUUCCGUGGAGGGACUGAGGGGUCAGCCCAGGUCCCAGGAAGCCUUGACUUUCUUUUUUCAAGAUUGUGAUUUGAUAAUGUUCCAACUUAGCACGCUAGUCCUAGGCCUAAUGCACCCCACACCCAACCAGGAGAUAACGAUUUCUGUUGUUGUGUAGGACACCUAAUAAAAAAUGAUCGUAGUUUCGGAAGGCACCUGGGUCCCCAAACUGUGAAAUUCCACAGACGUGUCCAGGCACGCUCAGCUGUAGAAGCAGAAAACGCAGUUGCAUUUUCCACCCUUCUUUCACCCACCUUCUUUUCCCCAGAUUCUCUCCCUCUCUUCUUACCCACUCCCUUCCUCUUCCUGAAACAUAAAUUGAGUCUGGACUGUGGUUCUUGGACUCGGACCCUUUGUGGCUUUUGCCUCAGCACUCUACCUGAGGCUGUCAACCAGGCCUGCCAGAGGCCCUCUGGUCUCUCUUGGGGUUAGACGGGGCUAGGUACCGGCAGAGCUCCACGACCUCCUUUCUGGACUCUUCCUCUGACUUGCUGGUCCUCACAGACCUGUUCAAUGCACGGUCUUGUGGGCUGCUAGCAUCAUGGGUUGGUUGUUAAUCACUUUUAAAAGACCUAUCACAUAGCACUUGAUGUCUCCCAGUCUGACAGCCAGUAAACGUGAUCUGGUGGGAGACAGAAGCAGAGAUCUGUGGCAGCAUAUACAGCGGUGACUUGAGUCCCAGGCUCCAGAAUCUAGAUCUAAAGGGUCUUUCUAGCCUAUUAACACCCCACCCCCAUAUCUUUCUUACCGUGAGGGCUAAACCAUUCUUCACUAAUCCUGUGGCCUUUUUGAUAUUGGUAUUUUGUUCUCCCAAAAGCCAUUGGAUGGUUUACUUUGGCUUUUUGGUAAGUCACACUGAACAAAGGUUUUUUUUUGUUUUUUUCUUUUGUUUUGUUUGUUUUUUCUCCUGUUUUGGGGUGAUACUGGGGAUUGAACCUAGGGGCUACAUCCCCAGCCCUUUUUACUUCUUAUUUCAAGAUAGUGUUUCCCUAAUUUGCUCAGGCUGGCCUAGAACUUUUAGUCCUUCUGCUUCAGCCUUGGAGAUUGCUGGGAUUACAGGCCUACACUCUCCCUGCCAAAGGUGACUUUGUAAAACCCUUUUUCUAAAUCUAGUUCAAGAGCCCCAUAUUCCUACAAAUGAUCCAAUAUGUAUGGAACACUAUCCUGGAUACCUCCUUCUUACCCCUAAGUCAUUAAACAAAUAAACAAACAGUAUUAUUCUGUUUAAAGAUACCAACAGGACAAAAAUAACCCUGUUUUAUCAGGCUUAUCUGAAAUGAUGAACAUCUUUGAGAGAAAGAUCAGUUUCUCUGGUCUUGAUGCAGACCUUUGCCAAAGAGCUUAUUUUAAGGAUACUAAAUCAAUUAGUCUCCCUUGGCAUGAGAUUAAGGGGAGGAAGUAUGCAGCUGAAGAUGUAUUUAAAAUAGUCUUGCACAUGUUUUUUUGGAGGAAAGGGUGGAGAGAGUCACAGGGAUGCUCAUCUAAUGUUUUUUGAUUACUAAAAAAUGAAACAAGAACAAAAAGAUCAAUCCUAGCUCAAAAAUCUCUCCCUAGUCCUAAGACUGAAAUCAGUCUAUACUAUUGUAGCUGCCCAUCUGUAAAACAGUUCUGCCUUUGUCAAUAUGAAACCCAGGGUAGAAAGGCCAGGUUAAAAGCCAUGCUACUUCUUCUGGUCUGUGUAUUCUUAGCCUCCCAUAUAGUUGAAUGAAGCAUGGACUCAGCAAGCUUGAGUGCUCACUAUCACUCUGGUAGCCCAGGCAUUUCUUCUUUGUCACCUUUGGGUUGAAAAGCUCAGAGAUAAGUGCUUUACCUUAGUAAGCAGUUUAGUUUUAUAUCUCAAACUGGCCAUUUAAAGCACGUGUUUUGGAAAAGAGAGAUAAGGGAGCACUCCCACUUUUAUGCCUGGGUUCCCAGUCAUAGGGCCCAGGAGUAGCAGUUGUGGGAGGAUGGCUGGAGAACAAGUGCUGACCUUUGGAUGCAAAUCAAGCCUUUUUAGAGGAGGAAAAGUGACAAUCAUUUCUAGCACAUCAGUGAAGCCAGAGCCAAAUAUUUUCUUUUUUGUAAAAAUACAAAGUCUUGGCUCUCUAAAUGCAUUUAUGCAAAAAGAAAGAACGAACUAGAGACUUUAUGUUACAAAACACAUUUCUUUAUUUUAAAUGCCCAAUUUGAGUGAAGAAUAACUGCAUGGCUAUUCUUCCCAGGGAAAAUGGGUUGGGUUUGGAUGAAAAGUUGAAGUUUUGAAAUGAGUUUGAAGGUUGUUAGAGUACCCUGACAAUACAAUCAACUGCACUAUAUAAUCAUUUCCCUUAAUAGUUACCUGUCAGAGCACCUAUUUCUUUUACUACAGGAUUAGCCCAUCAGAAGAAUAUCUGAGUUGGACAUUUCACUGACUAAAGACUACUUGAAUAUGUUUAAGUCUUUAAUGUCACUUUCUCCACUGCCUAUGACAUAAACUAGUGGAAAAAUAUUGUCUGGAAAAACCAGCAGAUCUGCUGGUAACUGUAGUCAAACUGCAAUUGUAUUUACCUAUCAAAAGGUUGAUCUAAAUAGUAAGCCUAACAUUUCCUUCUAAACUGUCAUUGAAAGGAUAUGUUUAUUACAGUGUCCUCCAUCACUGAGGAGAGAGAAGGUUUAGGUAAAGUUUAGAUGAAAAAGAAUGAGCAUAGUAUACCACUGAUACAAACCACAUGCAGCAGUACAUAAUUAUAACCUGUGCUAUUCUAUGUAUAUUUUAUUUGCCCAUGUCAGAGGUGAAAAAAUAAAUGUAGCUCAUCUAUGGGAGGAGUUAAUAAAGUAUUCCAAAUGCAUGAUCUAACAAAACUCAGGGAUAGUUUUGUGUUUUAUUGUUAACCCCUUGCAUGAAAUCUUCUGAAGCUGAAAAGAGAAAGGAAAGGGCUUUUGUGCUAGUUGAUCCUUGGCUAUUCUAGGGCUCAGGUUGGUGUGAAAGGGAUGAGGAGGUCACUUGAAAUCUCCUUUUAUCUACUCUUAUUUUCUCUCUGGAUCAGCAACUUUGAAUAGACAUCAUCUAAUCGCUCUUAAUGCAAAGAAACUAUGGGAGCAACAAAAAUGCCUUUUACUUCAGAAUUGAAUACAUGCAUGCGGACAGCUAGCUGGGCUCACAUUGAACUGCAUCUCGGCACACAUGUGCUUAGAUAUUUUUCCAGGCACACGGGUGUUUAUGUAAAUAUUUCUCAUACAUUCUGUUGGGGGUAUUGGAUGACUUAUUUUGCUCUUUAUGCAAAGUAGGCAUAUAAUCUACAUUUAGUUUCUCUACAAAGUCCAGGUUAUAUUUUUGGCUGAUUCUUCCUUUAGUUGUUUCCUUGUUCUCACUUUCUGGACAUAGUUGAGCUUAGGAAAAAAAAGUAAAUAAUUGAGAAUACAAACAGACAGCCUUUUAGUUAAGUCAUUUUAUUUCCUUUCCAAUUUUUGACCGGAAGUGACAGUAGGAUUUCUCUUAUGAGGGUGGAGAUGAUGUGACAGGUGGGAGGUAAUGGGGGUAAGACAAGACCUUUACUUUCAAUUUCUACCCAAGAUUUUUUUUUUCUUUUUGGUCUUGCUUGAAAUUAAAUUGGUUAAAUCACAAUAAAUAAGUGGAAAAUAAGAGCCCAGCAUGAGGCAGUUAAAAAGUUUUUUUCUUCUAUACAUACAUAUCUGCAAAUACUUAAAGCUGAGCAAUUCAUUACAACUUCCAUUUAACUUAAUUUUAUUUAGUCUUAUAUUGACUUAAAAAUCAUUCAAGUUGUCUCCCUUAGAUAGUGGUACAUUAAUUUCAAAAAUAAAUAUGGGUGUUUAAUAUGAAUGGUUACCCAGAAAAGGAUAUUUAAUUUCUAGAAGAAAGCAUCAGGCUUUACCUCCCCAAAAGUCAUAUUUUAAGCAAAUUCACAUUGCUUCCAGAGCAUGGGACACUUUGCUGUAAAUUCCUUUAAGGGAAUACUAAGUUACCAGGGCUACAAGUUCUCAUCUCAACCUGCCAGCACCUCUUCCCCUGUAUCCAUAUACCAGGGACACUUGGUUGUCAGGAUUAGGACCUUGAUUUUGCCUUCUCCUGACACCAACCUGUUAGAGAUCGCAGUUCCAAAGUUAGAGAUUGAGUGGGAGAGGAUUAAUUCCUCUUUAAUUCCUCUUUUUUCUGCCCUCAAUUCUGAACCCCAACUGAUACAUUUCCUUGGGUUUCCUGAUGAAUAGGAGCAUAGAACUGUCCUGCCCAAUAAAGAUUAAAUUAAGUAGAAGAAUCCCAGCCGCUGGAUAUUUGGAAGCUCCGGUGGGGCGUCAAACCAACGUUAAACACAUUUUUUCCACUCAUUGUGCACAAAUCCUGGAUCUGUUGGCUUAACUUUAGGAAGAAGGGAAAAGAAAAAGAAGAAGGGAGGUAGGAAAAAAAGUCAUGGAGAAACCCCAGUUUCAAGGGGAAGUGGAUUUAUGCUUAGAGCGACUGAAGGCAGAAAUAGGGCUUCCUGACCUUUCUAAUCUUUUCUUUCCCGGAACUACUCUGAGCAUUGGAGGCUCCCUCUUUCGCGGAGGGCUCAGAACUUCUGCUUUGGCAGGCCUGAUUAACAUUUAUCUUUUAGGAAUAGUGGAGUGGCCGGAUCAUAAUGGGGUAUGCAGGUGAAGGGCAUGUUCAGAAUUCAGUCGCUUCCUCUGUGGCAUUUUUUUUUUUUUAAAUAAAGGUUUGGUAGCAUAAACUGAGCAGUUUCCUCUGCUUACCACUCAAUAGGAGAAACAAUAGUUUUCUCUCUUGGUGUUCAGCAAGCUGGACACUGAACUUGAACCUGAGGCGGGGUAGGGCGCCCCCCGAUGACUCCAAAAUAUCAGUUGUUAACUCCCACCUGCUCCUCUAAUCCCUGGGCGCAGUCCGGAGGGGCAAAAGGCAAGUCCCUUCGUGGCAAAGACUUGUCCAUGCAAAUACAACACCGAAUAAAUUAACCUCAAACCAGCUAGUUGGGGUGUAGUAGUUUAGCAGGACUAAUUGCAGACAAUGUAGUUGAAAUGACUUUUCCAAUUAGCUGCUGGUUGGAGUUUAGUUGGAAGAACUGUCAGCUCCAACGAUGGGUAAUUGCUUUAUUGCUCACAAAACUAUCAUCUAUUUAGAACAUAUGUGCUAAUUACUCUGGAUGGGCGUCGGAAAAGAAGACCAUAAAUCUAAUAGCACUUUAAAAAGUCUAUGGUGCUUGUAAGCAAUCCCAGUCCCUUACACAUUCUCUCCUGCUCAGGUUCUCGUGAUAGAUGGCUGUCUUUCAGGAAAGCGAAGGUUUGGAUUGGAGAUGCGGACCGGAUGCUCUGGUCAAUUGCGUGCAGGAGAGCAAGCGUCCGGUGCGUGCUGUGCUGAGGCGAUAAAUCACUGUCAUCAAAAUCGGUCCUCUCUUUAGCCGCACACUUAAUUUUUUUUUUGGCAAAAAGAUUACUUUAGAAAUCUUUUAAUUGGAUUAUACUGGGAAAUUAACCUCCUUUAGCCUUGGCUAAAUUUAUUGUGGCCACUAUCGGGAGGAAAGCUCUGUAACCGCAGUAAGGGCUAUGUCCCGUUACUCCCUUUCCUCAGCUCUCCAGGGUCUCCCAACUGCGUGUGACAGUGGUGCCUCAAGUCCUCAAGAGUGACUGAAGUGAGAAAACGUGGAAAGACACAUCUGGUAGGAAGGCCCCGGAGAUCUCAAGUGAACCUCCUUUGUCCUAAAUGUCACGUUUCUAUCCCGGAUUCUUUAGUUCCACAGCACCGCGCCUUUAUCCACAAGAAAUUCUGGGGUUUUGAGGGUCAGCUGCCAGGGAAAGAGGCUGGAGGAACUGGAAGAGGAAGUAGGGUGGGAUGGAGGAGGACUGCCAGCCAAACUCGCUAGUUUGCCCUCUCCCCCUCAUCCCUCCUUCUGGGUUUUCUGCCGGGAGUUGGGGCCCUAAGGACACUCCAAUUUUCUGCGCAAAAACGCACGGCUUUUUUUUUUUUUUUUUUUGCGUUCUUCCUGGCACAGCUCUGGAAACAGUUCCCACUGAUAUGCAUAGCGGGGGCAAGGACCCUCUCCAUUCCAUCUAGCUCCUCUACACCAGUAUUGUCAGGCGGUCAGCCAGGUCCUGAGCGGCUCCGGACGCGGGAAGUUGAUGGUUGGGCCCCGGCGGCCGCGCCUCUCAGCGGGAGAUAACAACAUCUGCCUGAAACGGGAUACCUACUUUUGCAGCUCAAUUUAGCUCUUAAUAGCAAUCCUCUGAGGUGUGGUUAAUUGAUGGGGAUAAAGGCGUAAUGACUUGACUGGGAGACGCCAAUGAUCCUUUAAUAUACUUCUAAAAGAACAACAACCACCCCAAACACUGGCGAGUCAUUGCUCCGUGACUGUAGCAAGGCAGGGAUCUGGAGGCUGCAAAAGCGGCGCUGGUGCUGUUUUCAAGAGGCGUCAGUGCCUUCAAGGGUGAGCACCUGAAAGCCACCAGGGAGCGCAGGUCGGAUUGGCAGGGAGUUUUGCCAGGAUGCUGGAAGGGACUGAGAGUCUGGAGAACUUGGGUUGACAAGUGACCCAGCCGACUGGCGGGGUGGAGCCCCUAACCGGAAAGAUGCUGCCCCAUCCUGGUUUCCACCACUCUAUUAGUCUUCUCCCUGCAUGGGAUUGGAGGCUAUACUCCGGGUGCCUUCGCUUGCCAGCUUUCGGGGGCUAAAGCGACCCCUCUUCCAGUGUGAGUGACCGUGCUUUGUAGGAACUCCGGGAGUUAGGCUAUCUGGACAACCUCUGAGGGGUUCCAGCGCCACCACAGAGAAGCACGCAUCCGUGUGCAUGCGCGCGAAGACCGUCCCCCACCCCCACCCACCCAAAGCAGAGUUGGAACACAGCAGUCCUGAGCACGUGGUGGUAUUUAGGCCGGGUCUGCCCAGAACCCUGGGGCGGAGAGUCCUGAGAUUGAUUACCUGCUCUAGAGCUGGGUCCUGGCUGUCGGGUCAUAGCAACCUUUGUGCAGCAUCCAUUCACACCUCUGUUCACUGCUCUUUCUUCAGCACCUUCCCUUUCUCUUGCUUGGUUUCCCUUAGCUCAGUUCUAGUUGAGUCUUUAGAGUAUGAAUGGAGUGUUUUACUCUACUCAAGCCCAGAAUUUAGGUUUAAGCAAGCACUAAAAUGAAAAGAACAAAAAUCUAUUCGCGUUCGCGUUUUUCUUCUCUCUCUCUCUGAACCCCCUCAGGGAGGGACGGUGAUGUUCUUGAAGGUUUUACAUUUUGGAGAAAGAUAACCUUAACGCUUCAGGUUUUAGCUUUCUUUGGAAGGGGAAGGAGAAAUGACUUUCUAAUCAUCAUCUAUGUUUUAUUGCAUUGAGAGACUGUAGUUGUUUUAGACUGCAGCGAUUGACCAUCUUCCCUCCUAAGCCAACAUAACAGGAAUGAAAGUAUCCCAAGAAACUUAAUUUCCCCAAAUCUUCAUGAUGAGAAGUACGUAUCUCCGGGUGAGAAAGCGUCAAGGUCAAGAGUUUGAAAAUAUGCAAUUACGAUUCUGAACUAGAAGAGUGUUCUUGUCUUGGUGUGGUUCUGUCCAUUCCAUCACUGUCUAAUCUCACCAGUGCGGUUCUGCCCUCUGUGUAUCUUUAGGAAAUCAACAUUCACUGUCUAGCUCCUGAUUCCUCCAUGGCCCCAAGCCAGGAAGGAUGGCGAACUGGGCUCCCAGGCCAUAGUAUUGAUCUUUUGGCGCCUAAGAAUCAGGGACAAGGUCCCAGGUCUAAAUGCUAGCCCUGGCUUGUGACUCCUGAGAAGCUCUCCGCCUUGGAUGGAAUUCAGGAUCUGGCUUCAGGUCCCCUCUGAAGAGGUAACCCAGGCUUUCCGGAUUGGGCCGCCGGAGGUCCUGAGUUGCCUCUAGCGGUCUGCCUGAGCCCUUGAUCACCAUGGCCCUCGGGGCUGUAGAUCCUUAGGGUCGCACUUGCCCCAAGUCCAGCAGCAUUCCCACCUCAUUCAAGGGCCUUUAAUUCCGGUUUGUCUCACAUUCCUCACACCACAAAGGCGCUAGCUACCAGAGAACAAAUUCUUCAUUCUGCAAACGACGCUCCCUGGUAGGGGAGCCCUUUCCACCCUUCUCCCAGGGGUUCCUGAACUUCAAACCCGAUCUCAACAACGACGGGAACAGCUCCUGGAAGCGAGGCCCACAUCCGGGCACCGAGCCUCGCUCUCAGAGUUGGUGGCGGGUCCUUCGACGCAAGUACGAGCGUCUCCCCCAGCAGAGGAACCCGAGACACGGGAUCAAUACAUUGGGAUGUCGCCCUGACAGUGACUGGCCACAAUCUUGCCUGCGUUCUCGGGCCACCACCCCGAGAACGGGAGUAGUGACAAAGCCCGGAACCUGCGCAUGGGGAUUCAAGAAGAAAGCCAGGCCCGGCCGGGGGGUGGCGCUCGUUUUCCAAACCCCAGGUCAAAGCUGGCAGGUAGCGUCCCCUCGGGUCAGCCCGGCAAACCUCUUAGGAAUGGGCCUCGAGGGAAUGUGAGCCGCCCCCGCCCAACCUUGUACUGUUUAGAGAUCCAACAUCGAAUGAGGCAGCUUUUGCGAGUCUUCAGUACGCUUCUUUGCAGACGCUGCUUGGGGCGCUGAGCCUUGACGCUCUCGCGGGCUGCCUGACAAUUUGCCCUGUUUGAGGCAGUCUUCUUCAAGUGUUGGUCUGGGAGAGGUAGGAACCAAGCCCCGAUUUUCUGUUAAGGAAGAACUUGGUUUUAAGAAGCUGGGAAGCCAGUGAGAGUAACUUUGUGGCCUUCGAUGUUUUUGAAAACAUCCAUAUACAAGGCAGAAACAUCCCAGGAAAAACUCUUGUGUGAUUCAUUAAAAAGAUAUUGGGAGACCAUAUCUCAAAAGAGUUUUUUGCAGAGACUGCUUUAUAAUCUCUCAAAUUACAGAGUUGGUAUGUACUGUGCCACCAAUACACUGAAUAGUAUCUUCCUUCAGGCAGAGAUUGAGAAACGGAAAUACCAUCACCUUCCAGCCAAACUGUUGUGAGGACCGAUUGCAGGGGAAUUGGGGCUCCAGAUGUUGCACCAGAGUCGCUGCAAGUGUGAGCAGGUAAUGUGGAGAAGAAUGACAUUGUUAACAGAAAGCAUCUAAUUAACAAUGACUUCAUUUGAUUGGAAGGAUGAAGAAGGCUUUUUAAAUCAAUCCAGAUUCACUGGACUAACCUUGGCCAAUUUAUGAAUAUGGAGCCCUACUGGGGUCUGCUUUCUUUCAAAGAAGUCAUCUUAGAGGUAAUAGCUUAGGUGAAGUCAUUUGGUUACACUGUGGAAACUUUUAUAGUGCCUUCCUUGGGAGUUUAAUUCAGUGCUUCUUCAUUUUAUUAGGAACAGACUGACUCCAUCAACUGUGCUCUCCCUGUUUAGAGGCAGGACUGCUUGAAGCAAUUAGGUUCACCAAUUAGCAUACUUUUACUGACCCCAGCAGCAACACCGAUCCUUAGAUUAUCCAUUUCUUUAAAGUCAGGGAAAAGCUGGAGCACAUCAUGCUUCCCAGGUGUCCGUGUUGGGGAAAUAAGCCCACGAGCAGGGCAGCACAGCAGUACAAAAAACUUUCUAAAGUCCUACAAAUGUUUGUUUCAGUAACUCUGAUGUUUUUUGUUUUUGUUUUGUUUUGGCCCCAUUCUGAUCCUGGAUCCUAUUAUACACCUUACUUUGACAUAGCAUUGAAAACCUCUCCCCUUUGGUUAUAUUUUGGCAGAAUUGCUUUUAAGAAAGUAAAUUUUCUCCCUUCUGUCCUCCUGUGUUCUAAUGAUGCUAUGGAUGUGGAAAACCUUAAGGUCCAUUGAGCAGGAGUCACUGAAGGGCUCCUUAAUACCCUUUUAGGUAAUAAGAGCUCUGGAUUGUGUGUGUGUGUGUGUGUGUGUCCAUGUCCAUGUCUAUGGUCAUGCAUGCAUGCAUGUGCCUACCCACCUGUGUCUCAAAAUCAGAGGCAGAGGGUGAAUAUGGGGUAAUACAUUAUUUUUCUUAAUUUGAAGGUGCACCUGCAAGACUGUAUUACAAUCCUUUCACUGUAAACUCAAUCAGCUGGUGGCCAACAUCUUUAGUAAAAUAAAAAUCUCAGGAGCCUAAAGCAGUCUGGGAAAGAAGAGGUUUUGCUCUUGUCACUUGUCAUUGGUAGUGAAGGGAUUAAAUUUGCAUGGCUAUUGUCCCUCUCUCUCUUCCCUCAGAUAUAUAUUCCUCUGUAAAUUUUCAGUAGAUUAAAUUGCUGACAAUUUAUCAGUAACAGUAACAAUGUAAUUCUCCUAACCUUAUUAAAUCAAUAAAUACUAGAUUCCAUGCAUUGAAUUCAAAAUGCAUCAGUAUGGCCAGGAAUUGAGAUCAUAUGGCCACAGACGUUUGGAUUGAAGAUGCCACUCAAAAAUUGGUUGUUUAACAUGUAUUUAGUUUCUUUUUCUAACUUGGAUCUGUGAGUAGAUGUUCUUUUUUUUUUUAAAAACAUUUCAGGGACAAUUUUUGAUAGUUUAAUUUUUUUUGAGUUUGUAUAUUCUUGAAAAACCUUCUACUCAUUCUUUAUAUUCCACCAUGAAAAUGAUACAUGAAUUUUUAACAAUAGUAAUAUACUGGUAUAUAGUUCUUGUCAUUAAUUUUCAUCCAGGGAAUAUACUUCUACUCAGAAUACAUUAUUUUGGUAAAACACAUUCAAGGUGAAUAAAUUUCUACAUAAGCAUAAGUAAAUUUAGAUGUGUAUGUUUUUGUAUAAGUAAAUAUACUUUGUGUGAAUAUAUUGCUGUACAUUGAUUAUUACAGUCUUUUUCUUCUUUUUGGUAUUAGGGAUUGAACCUAGGGAUGCCUUACUGUUAAGCUACAUGCUCAGCCCUUUUUAUUUUUUAUUUUGAUACAGAGUCUCAGUUGAUAAGGCUGGCCUUGAUUUUGCAAUCCUUCUACCUUGGCCUCUUGAGUUGCUGGGAUCACAGGCAUGUACUACCGUGCCCAGUUACAACAGUGUGUUUUAAAAAGGAAACCACACAUAUCUUUCAACACUAUCUACUAUAUUACAAACUAAAUAAUUACUUAUAAUUUUAAAACAAGUUAUUUAUAAUCUUAUUUGCUUGUUGAAAUUUGCACUACAAAAGGUGAAAUUAAAUAUUUCAAGUCUUAAAACUUAACACAGCACUUAGGGAUUAUAAAUAUCUCAAGUGUUAUAUUUUGUGGGUGAAGAAAUACCUGAAUUGUGGUUUGCCAGGAACUGUCUAGUUAUAUUGUAGAUAUUAGUGGGUAAAUUUAUAGUUAGUUGCUACUGAAAACAGGGAACAUUUAAAGUACCAGAAAGUGAGAUGGAAAAAGUAACAUUACUCUAUUCAGAUAUUUUACUGUAUUAAUUAAUGAUGCUAAUUAUUUAAAAAUACCCCAUAUUUGUGUCAGCUGGCAUGUAUGCUACUGAAUUCUGAAGAUAUAGUCAUUGGCCCUUGGGUUCACUGCACUGUGGAAGAAAAAUCUUUAUUUGAUGAAAUAGGCAAUCAACUGAAAUCUAUCCUCUUUAAAUAAACUGAUUCUUCAGUAUUUUCCCAGUGUUGGUGUAGGUUGUUGUCUGUGAUGUCCCCUAGGGCUCUUUCCUCUGCUCUCUGAUUUGGUAUAUAAAAGCAGCCCUGAAUGAUGGAUUACUGUGUCAUUGCAGCUAGCAAAGGAUUAAUUUGUUUCAUUGAUUUCUCUUUAGGCAGAUUGCCAGAAUUUGCUGCUUCCCACCUUUCCUCAAGACUUCUACAAGUAAUAGACAGUAAUAGCCUAAGACAAAUCAGCUCCUUCUUGUAAAAAUAGAAUCAGAAAGAGUCCCAGGAAAGCUAUGGCAAACUUUUUUUUUAAUUGAUAUGCUGGGGAGAGCAAUUUGUUUUAGAAAUAUUUUUAAUUUAAAAAAUUUCUGGAAUUAAUAACAUAUAAUUAAACAUGUCAAUAGAUAUAGGUAAGAAUUUAUAAUGUUUAGUCCAUAAAAAUGUUUCCCAAUUUGUAAGGAUCCUGCUUGACAAAGGAAAAAAAAACCUGUUUUUCCUUUCUAUGCCAGAUUUCAGAAUCAAAUAAUGUGUCAAAACAACUUUAUGUAAGUUUACCUAUAUGUUUUUAUAAUGUUAUUUGAAUUUUUUGAAACUUUGGACAAUGACUAUCAAAGCAUAGAAAUAUAAUUGUCUGAAAAAAUAACUUUUUCUAAUUAAAAAAGAGUAUCUGCUCUUAAUAGAGAAUUUGUAAAAAUUACAAAUGACAUUUUGAGUAUUUUCCUAAAUCUUUCCUCUGAGCAUUUAAUGUAAUAUGAUUUUAAUUAUCAUUAAAGUAAUUUAUAUAGUCUGUAUAGUGUUUUCUUUCUUUCCUUCCUUUUUUUUUUUUUCAGUGCUGGGGCUCAAACUCAGGACCUCAUGCACAACUAGCAAGCACUCUACCACUAAGCCAUAUCUCGAGCCCCAACUGUAUAAUGUUUUAAAAUAUAUACUUUAAUGAAUCAUUGCUCUACUUUUGAAGAAAUUAGAUUUCUAAUUUUCCACUAGUAUAAAUAAAGCUGUGAUGAAGAACAUUUUAAAUCUUUGAUCAUUCCUAUUCCUAUGGUUAUUUCCUUACAAUGUGUUACUAGAAAAGAAAUUGCUUGGAUUGAAGGAAUAGAUUUAAAAAAAUUAUUUAGUUGUAGAUGAACACACAGUAUCUUUAUUUAUUUUUAUGUGGUGCUGAGGAUUGAACCCAGUGCCUCACACAUACAAGCAAGCACUUUACCACCGAGCUAAAGCCUCAGCCCCGGAAUAGAUUGUUUCUGAAGAUUCUUUAUAACAAUUGCCAAAUUAUUGUCCAGAAAGAGUCUACCAAUUUAUACUGAUACUUAAUUUUUUUUUUCUGUAGAGGCUGCCUUCUAAUUUAUGUUACCCAAGCAAAGAAAACAGAACAACAGUCUUUUCCUUGUGUUCUGAAAGCAGUGGUAGAAUUUUGCAUGUACUUAGUCUUUUAGAAGUAUUUCCCCAACUGCAGAUGUGAAAUAGGCUGGUUAUACAAAUCUAUUUGUUUCCCUUCUGUAGUGCUGAAAAUUAUAUUGAUUUAAUGAUCUCAAGUUAUACUUUUUAUGCAAUUAGUUGUGUAGUAAAAACUAAUAUUGUCAUGUGCUAAUGUCUUUUUUUUGCCUCUAUUGUGCUAUGGUAGUAGUCCAUGCAUUAUCAGCAAGUUUGUGCUUUUCCUGUGCUUUGCUGAAUGGAAAAAGGAACAUCUGUUUCCAUUAUAUAUCUGCAUCAUAAUGAUAACAAUUAAAUAGCUAUUAUGGUAGUAUACAGUAAAUAUAUUUUGUUGAAUGACCUAUACUUCCUUUUUGGAAAAUUUCAGAGAUACCAGAGUCACUGUUUUUACAUGUAAGGUCCAUGUAGGGGUUGAGAAAGGUCUUUGCUUACUUUAGGUAAGUUAUUACAGUUAUUAUUGUCUCAAUAAAAUCAACCAACCAAAUUCAUGUUUGUACACAGGAUUUUCAGAUGUCACUCUUCAAUAUAUUUUUCUUAAGCGUAUGUUUAGAGUACAAAUUAUUUGGUAUCUCUCUUAAUGCUCUUGGAUGGGUAUAUCAUGCUACUAAUCAUACAGGUCAUUUUUUUUUGUGCCAUUUGUGUAGUUUUUAUUUUACUAAGUUGGAAAAUUGAAAAUAGCUACAGCAUACACUUUCCUUCUUAUAUUUGGGGCACAUAGUUAUAGUUACCUUUUAAAAUAUUUGGUUCGAGGAUUGAACCCAGGGUCUUGCAUAUUCUAAGCACAUAUUUUAUUGCUGAGUUAUAUUCUCAGCCCCCAUAUUUACCUUUAAAGUUUAGCAGGAAAAUGUUUGAAACCACACAAAACUCUUUCCAUUUACCUUUCAAAUCCACAGGAAUAUUUUCAUUUAUUUCAGUUUUUGGUUAAAGAUGUUUUGGUGGUUAUAUUAAAAAAUGAUUAAAAGUAUUUCAGAUGAAAAAUAAUUAUAAAUAAAGAAAUAUAAGCACUUAUGUAUCAUAAAUCCAGUUUGAGAAAUACAGUAUUACCAGUGCAAUUGAAUGUGUCAUUGAAUAUACUUUUUGGAAUAUAUUCCCUUAUGGCUUCUUAAAUUUGAUGGUAAUUAUCCUUUUAGGUACUUUUUUUUUUUUACAUGAUCUAAAAAUUUGACCUAACUGGCCUCUACUUUUAAAUAAGAGAAUUUUAAAAUGUUUGAGCUGUAACUGUUGUUAGAACCCUUUUAGUCUAAUUACCUGUAACUGGGCAUGUUUUAUAUUGUACUGUCUUUGUUCUCCCCUGCUGGUCUCUGAUGUCUUUCUAACCAUCAUUAAAAAAAUAUUAUAUUAUGUCUUGUUUUCCAUGUGUGAAAAAAUGAAAAUAAUCUGAAAGAGAGGUCUAGAGAGUUUAAAUAAUGUCAAAAGACCAUAUAGUAAGUCAGGGAGCAGGGAAUAAAACCCAGUUCUCCUGACAUCAAUUCAGGCAUCCUCUCUUCACUUUGCCUAUCAUUUUGGGGGGUUGUUCUUAAGUGAAAGGAGAGGGAGAGAGAGAGGUUAGGAAGAAGAGCAAGAGGAGGGAGGGAGGGAGGGAGGGAGAGAGAGAGAGAGAGAGAGAGAGAGAGAGACACUUUCCCCUCUGACUUUUUUUUUUUUUUUCCUUAUAGGGAAAAACAGUGAAGCCACGUCAGCCUGGAAGCUCCUCAUACAUCAAUAAGACAGUGUGUCUUCUAGAGCCUGUGAGUCCCUUCUAUAUUUUUUGGACUUUCCUGGAAACAGUGAUAGUUUGGAUAUAAUGAGACGUUCACUAAGCUCUUUACCCUACAGUUAAUUUUUUGCCCUCUUCAAUCUAACUAGAGCAGGAAAAUAGAGACAGGCACAAACAUAAUUGUCUCUUUUCAUGUACAUGUACCUAUUUUCAAUAUAUUUUGCAGUCAGGACUUUAAGGAAUUAUUUUCUCCUCUUUGGUGUAGUUUAUGCUAUGUUCACAUCACAAAUGGCUUUUUAUGUGAAAAUGAAUUUGUUUCUUGUUUCUGUUUCGUGACCAACUUGCCAGUCCUAAAGUGAAAAUAGCACAAAUAGAAUAAUGUGGAAACACAUUUUAAAAAUCCCUUUGGAGAAAAAACCCAUUCUAAAACUUAGAAUUAUAUGCAUGUGCUUUCUUUUUCAGGUUUUUAUUCUAACAAAUUUAAUUCAUUCUUAGUUGAGAUAAUUAAGCUUGAAUCAACAUUUAUACAGUGCCACGCAUCUAUGAAAAAAUAGUUGUAAAACUGGAGGUUGGAGUUAUAUAUCCUAUUGUAAAAUCAUUUUUUCCCAAAAUUUGUUGCUUCAAAAUCAAAUAGUUGGUUGAGGAAAUUAUUUGUUUUCUUCUGUAAAUACAUACUGGAAACUUAUAAUACCAGUAAUCAUAUUCUUUAGGGUGAAUGAAGCUACUAAUAGCAAUUUUGUCAAUGCUAUAAAUAUUCCCAAGAUAGUUGUAUUUAAUAAGUAAACCAGAUAGCACAUAUGUCUUUGACUAUUUUAGGUCAAAUUAUCUUAUGGGUUUAGCAUCUUCUAGUAGGAAAAUUUCACCAUCAUAUUAGCGUAAGGAGAGAUCUGUAAUCAGAUACAAGUAUUCAGUACCCCUUUUAUUUAGGCAUUACUUUAGUCACCCUUACAAAAUAUGAUUUAUUUAAUUUCUGUCUAAGAAGGCUUUCUUUCUGGGGAAGCACAUGUAUGAGAAUAUUUUAAAAGACUGUUUUUAGUCUAAUUGUAAUUUAUGGAGAACAUCUGUAAUGUAAAUAAUUUUCUAUACUGGUUUAAUUACCCCAUAUUAUUCUACUCUACUAGGUAGAUAAAACUGAAUAAUAUGGACUUUUUUUCAUAUAGCAGCUUAAAUACGGUACUGUUCUCAAUGUCUUCAUUUUAGUACAAGUUGAAAUUAUUUCAAAGCUAGCAGCAUUGGCUGUAUAUUUUCCAUUGAUAUAGCCAGUAUACAAUUUGUAGCUUAAUUUCAAAGUUGUCUGUGGGCAAAAAAGGGUGGAAUUUUUUUCAGCCAACUAUAGAUUUGCAUGUUGUAAAAAUUUCUUUGUGUCCUAUCUUGAAUUCUCAGAUAUUUAGGAUUUUCCCAGUAUUUUAUUCUUAGGAAUAUUAUGUAAAUUUUGUCUAGUGUUUUUAAGAUAUAGUCAACACAUACUUAUUGAGUUUUUUUCAUACUUCAGGCAUAUGGCAUAGUUAAAGAUAUAGUCCUUGCCCUCAGGAAGAUAAUAAUUGAUAUGAUCUUUUACCAAAAAUGUAACAGGUUAUAUUUUCUUAAUAUAAUACCUCAUGUGAUUUUAUAUUAAUAUUACUAUAAUGGGACUUUAAAAAAAAGAAAAUAUAUUUUACUUUCUCUUGCUAUUCACCUUUUGAAAGAAAUCUUGGAAUUAUAGUUUGGGGUUGCCAAAAUUAAAGUUUUCUUAAUAUUGAUCUUGAAUAAAUAGAGUAUGGCAUUUUAAAAUUUCAGAUCAAUUCUUUAAAAUAAGACCUUAAGAUUUUUUUCUCAAUACUCUAUUUUGUUUAAAUUAAAUAUGUUAAUUUAUUUUUUAACUGUGCCUUCUUUUUUAAAAAUAUAUUUUUUUAGUUGUAAAUGGAUCCUUUAUUUUAUUUAUUCAGCAAACAAAAAAUUGUUACAUAAUAGUAACAAUUCUCUGAAAAGAGACAUUUAUUUUACUUAAUUUACUAAGAAGCAAGUUCAUUUUUCUUCUUUUUCUUUUUUCGUAGUAAGGAUUAAAUCCAGGGGUGCUCUAUCACUACAUCUCCAGCCCUUUUUAUUUAAUUUUUUUAUCUUGAGACAGGGUUUCACUAGUUUGCCAAGGCUGGCCUCUGCAUUUUGAUCUUCCUGCCUUAGCUUCCCAAGUAUCUGGGAUUAUAGUCCUGUACCAUCACACCUAGUUCCUUUUUCUAAAACUCAACUAACAAAGCCUAGCUGAGUUCAAGUUACAACCACACUAAAUAUAAAGGUAAAACAUGUUUUUAUAAAGAUCUUUCAAAACGCCUAUAUUUGAUCUUGAUCACACAUUAGCUUGGAUGCUGCUAUUGAAUUUAUUAUAGCAUUGAACAUAUUUUUAUAGCUCACCAAUGAUUUAUUAAAUGAUGCUAAGAAAAAUUACCAUUUAGCUGUCUCACAAGAAGUGGGUUGCUGAUAUUCAUUUUCUGGCAAAUUUGACCAAUGCAGAUAACUGUUUUGGAUGAAAAGGUUGACAAAAUUACUAUUUUUUCUCUAUAAUAGUUGCGGUCUUUCUGGGAUUAAUUGUGCAAUAACCUCUUCUGUUUUAAAAUAUGAAGAUAUAGAUAUAAGUUUCAGUUUGUAUGUAUGAUAAUUAGCAGUAGAAGUAAAAUUUGUAUGUGGUGUAGAGUGUUUGCAUGAGGUACCAGGUCCUUUGGAUUUUAGUGAUAUAUUGAGUUUUGCAUUACUUACAUAUUUCUCAAAAUAAGUAUUUGAAUUCCAAAAUAAGCUCUUUUUCAACUUGUUGUUGUUAUCUGCAGUGCAAGGGAUAGAAACCUGGGACUUAUGUACUGUACCAUUGAGCUAUUCCCCUAGUUCUAGUUAACUUUGGAGAUAUAUAUUUUAAAAGAUUUAUAUUUAUAAAGAGGCACACACAUUUAGUGAUACUUGGAAGAUGGUUACAGUGGAUUUAACCAUACUACUAGGGUUAUCCGGGUAGUUUUUUGAACUGGUUAAUGCUUAGUGAUCAGAGGGAAGAAGAGAGUGAUAUUGUGGAACUUUGAAAGCCAACUGAUGUCUAUUGACAGAGCCCCAAAUCACCAAGAUCCUAUUUGUAUUGCAGUUCAGAAAUUAAGUUCAAAUGUGUUUUGAGUUGUAUGUUGGUCAGCUUUGUGUUGCUGUGACCAAAAUAACUAGGAAUAACCUAGAGGAGGAAAAGUUUAUUUUGGCUCAUGGUUUUAAAGCUUUCAGUCCAUGAUUGUCUGGCUCCAAAGUAGAAAAACAUCAUGGCAGAAAGACAUGGUGGAGGAAGGCUGCUUAGCUCAGGAAGCCCCAACUCUGAACCUUCUGCACCGGGGACAAAAAUUUAAGCACAUGAGCUUUUUGAGGGACAUUCCAGUUUCAAACCACAGCAAGUUUUGACAAAUAAUUUUAAAAUUUGAAAAGUCCUGAAUUUUAUAAUAAGGAAUUAGCUGAAGGCAAUAUUUUUAUAUAUAGUAUGUAUGUUCAAGACUUUUGCUCUUACAUAACCUUGCCUAAUUAUUUUUCCUAUCCAAGAGAAGUAUAUAAAACCCCUUAAGUUAUAAAUUUUUCUGUUCUGUAAACAGCAAAAUUCUAUUAUCAUCAUUAUAUGCUAAGUAAAUUUCAUAUAUUAUUUAAUUUAAUCCAUUCAUAUAAAAUGUAAAAUUCCUAUUUUACUGAUAAAGAGUUCAAGGCUUAAACAUGUUUAAUUUGCUAGAGUCAUAUAGUUAGUAAAUGACAGAUCAAGGAUUUCAUUGAAAUAUGUGUUACUCUGUAGCCCUUUCCUGUUAUAUGCCAAUGCUAUUGUUUCUUGUCAAGUAAUUCAUUAUGCUAUCUUUUGAUUAUGGUUCAAAUUAUAUUCUUACAGGUAUAUAAAACACAUGAAGCAACUCUGUUAAGAAACAAAAAGGAAAAAUUAAAUAACCUCCGGGUAUUCGUUUUUCAAAGUAAACUCUUUUUAUAAUAGCUUUAUUUUAUUUAUUUUUCAUUUUUGUGUGGUGGUGAGGAUUGAACCCAGUGCCUCAUGAGUGUAGGCAUAUGCUCUACCACUGAGCCACAACCCCAGCCCUCCUGGUAUUAUUAUAUACCAGUCAAUAGGAUGAUUACAUUCUCCAAUAUUAAUUUAAAUGAUGAUAUCUGUUCCAAUUGUGCUACAUUGAAUGAAGAAAGACUUAUGUUUAAAACGUAAAUUUAUUUUGGCAUUAGGUUGACUUGGCUAUUAAAAAGUGUAUUUGCUACCAGAGUGAAAAGUAAAUAGCAAGAAAUUUUUAAAUUUAUGAUUUGUAACCUUUAGAAUAUUUUUUCUUUUAGUGACUCUCAAGGGGUAAAAAUCAUGGUUUCCCUUAGUAGGUGUAUUAUUUUGCUUGGGCUGCUAUAACAAAGUAUCACAAAACUGGGUGGCUUAAAAAAACAGAAUGGUUUGUUGUCAAGUUCUGGGGAAUGGAAGUCUAAUAUUAAGGUGUGAUCUGGUUGCUUCCUUUUGAGGGCUGUAGGGUAGGAUGUAUUCCAUGCCUUUCUUCUAUCUUCUGGAUAUUUGCUGGAAGUCUUUCCUGUUUCUUUUUUUUUUUUAAAUCUUUAUUUUAUUUGCUCAUUUAUUUUUAUGUGGUGCUGGGGAUUGAACCCAGGGCCUCACAUAUGUGAGGCAAGUUGUCUACCCCUGAGCUACAACCCUAGCCCCUCUUUCUUGUUUCUUGGCUUGGAGAUGUGCCAUACUGAUCUCUGUCUUCAUGUUUACUUGGUGUCCUUUUUGUAUGCAUGUUUGUCUUUGUGUCCAAAUUUCCCUGUUUAUAAGGACACAAGUAACAUUGGAUUAAGGCCCACCCUAAUGAUUUCAUCUUAAUUUGAUCAUUUGCAAAGACCCUAUUUCCAAAUAGGGUCACAUUCACAGGAACUAGAGAUUAGGACUGCACGUUCUCUUUAGGGGAUACAAUUUAGUGCAUACCUACAGGCAAUUUUUCUGAGAUAGUAUAUUUGAAAACUCUUUAGUAGUGGUUAUACACAUAAGUUUGAAGUUUAUCAAAACAUUGGUAUGAACAUAUGUCCAUAAAUGAGUCAUGUGUGACUAUUUGUUUUGGAAUAGGAUUGCUUUGGGGCUUGCUUUGUUUUUAUAAAAAAAUUGUAGGAAGAACAAUUUGUAGAACUAUUGGGGAUAGUUUUGGAUAAAUUAAAUAUGAUUAGAUAUCAAAAUAUAUAGGACUGUAUAAGAUAACAGAAUUUAAAGUUAACAGUAGCUAAUGGUAUGAUGAAGUUUGGAUUUCCAUAGACAUUUUGGGCAAGAGAAUGUUGCAGAGGAGGGCAAUAUGAGUUAAAGUCCUGAUGCAGGAAUAGUUAUUUUAUGUAUGGUGAAUUGUGGUUAUGAAGAGAGAAAGUGUUGUUAGACCAUUUUAAAUAUUUAGUGCUGAUUUUAGCUAUUAAACUUCAAGAAAGGUUUAUUUUAAUUUUAUUGUGUAGAAUAUUUGGAAUAUAUCAAUAACAAGAAAAACAUGACCCAUAACUCUAAUACUCAGAGUUAGUUAUUAUUAACAUUUUGGCAUUUGAUAAAAUCCCAGUCAAGUUCCUGCCAUCUUUUUCAUUCAGAUUAUGUCAUAUAGUUUUCUAAAAUAAGUUAAAUUCUGUAUUGUUCUUUGAGUCUAUAUCUGAGUUCAAGACUCAAUGGAUAACACACCUGAGAGUCUAGUGAUGAGUUGAAUCACCAUAUUUCCCUUUACCAUCUAGUCAAGCCAGCUUGGUCUUAUAUGAUUGAGUCCUUUGCCUUGUCCCCUACCCACCUCCUUUUGUACUGCUGCCAAGGUCUUUUAAAUAAUUAUAUCACUCUCUUGGCUUAACUCCUUUAGUAAGGGUAGAAGUCCAGCUUUUUAUCAUUUCUGUGAUCUUCCUCAUGCCUUUGUCUUCUCAUCUUUAGUGUUCCCAAAGCUACUUGACAAUCUCAGAAUAUUGUAUACCUUUUUGCACCUCCUUCUCUCCACUAAGAAUGUCCUUUAUCUAUGUGUCCCUCUUUCUAGCAGCUAUUCAUUCUUUAGUACUCAUUGCAAAUGACAUUUCCUCUCUGAAGUUUUUAUUCUAAGCCUAGUUUUCCUUCUUCUUAGUCGUAGCACUUUCUAUAAAACUUGUCAUAGAAUUGAUAACAGGGUUUUAUUGUGGUCAGUUUUCACCUUUUCCUCUGUUACUAAACUCUUGGUGUUUUUGUUGUUAUUAUUAUAUGUGAUACUUGGGAUUGAACCUGGGAAUGUUCUCCCACUGAGCUUCAUCCUCAGCCCCCAUUCUUGUUUUAAUUUUACAGGCAGGCACCAUUAUGCUGGACACCAAACUAUUAUUUAAAUGCUGUGCUAGGUAUUGUAGAAAUUGGAAACCAAAAUGAAGAGGAACUUUCGGAGUUUGUGGCCUAGUGGAGGAUUCCCAGUUUUAGUGAGUUUGUGCAGGACAGUGGUAAGGAAUAUAAUGGAGAAUUGUUAAAGAAAAUAUACUUGAAUGGCCCCUUAAAAGGGCAUUGUGUACAGUGCUUUAAAGUUAACAGAGUUUAUUGUUACAGGUGGCAGUGAACCUGCAUUGCAGGUUGUAGCAUAUGUUUUCUUUUUUUAAAUUUUUUUUUUAGGUUGUAGAUGGUCACAAUGCCUUUAUUUUGUUUAUUUGGUUUUAUGGGUGCUGAGGAUCGAACCCAGUGCCUCACAUGUGCUAGGCAAGCACUCUACCACGGAGCCACAACCCCAGUCCCUGUAGCAUAUGUUUUCAGUAGUUGUGUUGAAAUUUCCUGAUCUCUACCUGCAAGAGGAGCCCCAGAGCUUCAGCUCUGUGGGUGCAGCCUUGCCCUUAUAUGAGGCUGUUACUUUCCCACUUCAUCUUUUCUGCUCUAAUAGGGGAGAUGGGUGAGAAUUUAGUUGUUUGUUUUGUAAAUAGCCACAGAGAACUGAAAGAAAAAAUGUUUUAAUAAUAUCAAUACUUUUUGUAUUAUUAUUUUUAUAUUGGUUUAUAGAAUCCUUAAAGAAUGCUUUACUCAUUUUGGGCAUUUAGCAUUGUGAUGUUGUUUAGUUGUAUCUAGUUGUUAAUGGCUUCUUAUUGAUUUUUAAGUUUUUAGUCUAAUUUCUUAUUCUCUUAAAUAAUAAAAAGGCACAUAACAUUAAUUUUACUUAUUUAAAAUAUGCUCCAGUAAUAUGUAAUAAGCUCCUCACUCUUAAGGAAGAAAUUCAAGUAGAAAUUGAUAAAAUUCCACAUCAAGAAGCAGUAGAAAUAUUGUAUUAUAAAACUUCUGUAUUAAUAAGAAUGAACACUGUAGUUAGUAACCAAAGUAUUUUUUCUUCAUAAAAAGUGGGAGUAUUUUUCAGAAUUCUGGGAAAUGUCAAAGUAAUUUUGGCUCUAGUCAUGCUGCAUUUAAUGCUAUUGAGAAUAUUGCUAGCAUUAACAAAAAUAUUCUGUAAUUUCCUCAGAUAUUGCUACUGGUGAUGAGGGAUGUAAAGUUGGCAUGCUUUCAUGUUUUGAGCAUUAUCAUUACGCACUUCUGAUUUUACAUGUCAGAAGCAAUAUUUUUGUUAAGACUGCUGAGAAUAUUUUUAGUUAGGGGUAGAGGUUAGGCUCUUAUUAUUUGUAUAGUAGUGAUAUAUAGAAUAAAAUAAACAUGUCAGAGUAAAUACAUAUAUAAUUUCAUAUAAAUAUUUAAAAGUAUUUAUAUAUUUGGCAGUUUUUUUUGCUCUAUCAGAAUAUAGUGGUUUUUCAAGGAAGACAGUUUUAUUUUUAUAUUGAUUAUUUUAUUUUGUAAUUUUCUGUGACCGUUGUGAAUACUCAUCUUGCAGAUAUAAGCUAUUGUUCACCAGGGAGCUUUGGCAAAAUUGGC
rnacentral:lncRNA from 1 species